ensembl:lncRNA
CAGGCUGCCUCGCUAAACGAUGCACACCUGUAACUCACGUGACCCUGGUUAUUAUUGAAACAAGAACGAGGGCGUCGUGCCUUUAUAAGACUGCGUUAAUAGUUCCGUAGAGUUAUCCCUUCCGUUGUUGUUUAUUGAUUGUUAAACAUGGCGUCAUUUGCAAAGGUGGUUGUGUGUGUCCUCAUUGCUUGUGACUGUAAUGCAUUCGGUUUUCCGAAGAGAGAUGUGAACUUAAAGGCCUCUGCAGUUGACCGCCAAAGUGAUGAUGUGGUUGUCACCACAACACCCGUUCCCCACAACCAGACCACCUCUGCCCCUACUGAAGCUGGUGGUGGUGCAAGUGAAGAUGCUGUGGCUACUACCCCAGCACCUAAUCCACACAACCAGACAACUUCUGCACAAACUGAAGUUACUGAUGGGGCCAGUGAAGAUGCUGUGGACCGCCAAAGUGAUGUGGUUGUCGCCACAACACCCAAUCCCCACAACCAGACCACAUCUGCCCCUACUGAAGCUGGUGAUGGAGCAAGUGAAGAUGAUGCAGAUGCAGAUGAAGAUGAUGCAGAUGAAGAUGAUGAUUCAGCAAGUGAAGAUGCUGUGGCUACCACCCCAACACCAAAUCCCCCAACUACAUCUGACCACACUGCAGCUACCGAUGAUGCAAGUGAGGGUGCUGUGGCUGCCCAAACUGGAGCUACUGUAUCCCAUACGACUGAAGUCUGAUUCGACUGCUCCUCUGGUCACAAUGACCUGUCUGGACUUUUUGCCUCUACAUGUUGACUGCAAUAAAGGACAGAUUUGUAUUUUUUAAUCAAAUGUUGUCUUGCCUUUUUCAAAUUGAGGCCUUGUCCUGUUUUGGUAGUGGAGAUGACUAUGAAGCCUCUUUCCUAACGUAUUUCCUGUAGUGGUUUUACUAUAUGCUUCAUGCAACAAGGCCUUCAACGACUCUACAAUUUAAAAGCAUCUAGUUUUGUCUGAAUUUGUAAAAUGGUUGAACUGGUAGUGAUGCAC